UGGUGUAGCGGUGAAAUGCUUAGAUAUCACGAAGAACUCCGAUUGCGAAGGCAGCCUGCUAAGCUGCAACUGACAUUGAGGCUCGAAAGUGUGGGUAUCAAACAGGAUUAGAUACCCUGGUAGUCCACACGGUAAACGAUGAAUACUCGCUGUUUGCGAUAUACGGCAAGCGGCCAAGCGAAAGCGUUAAGUAUUCCACCUGGGGAGUACGCCGGCAACGGUGAAACUCAAAGGAAUUGACGGGGGCCCGCACAAGCGGAGGAACAUGUGGUUUAAUUCGAUGAUACGCGAGGAACCUUACCCGGGCUUAAAUUGCACUCGAAUGAUCCGGAAACGGUUCAGCUAGCAAUAGCGAGUGUGAAGGUGCUGCAUGGUUGUCGUCAGCUCGUGCCGUGAGGUGUCGGCUUAAGUGCCAUAACGAGCGCAACCCUUGUUGUCAGUUACUAACAGGUGAUGCUGAGGACUCUGACAAGACUGCCAUCGUAAGAUGUGAGGAAGGUGGGGAUGACGUCAAAUCAGCACGGCCCUUACGUCCGGGGCUACACACGUGUUACAAUGGGGGGUACAGAGGGCCGCUACCACGCGAGUGGAUGCCAAUCCCUAAAACCCCUCUCAGUUCGGACUGGAGUCUGCAACCCGACUCCACGAAGCUGGAUUCGCUAGUAAUCGCGCAUCAGCCACGGCGCGGUGAAUACGUUCCCGGGCCUUGUACACACCGCCCGUCAAGCCAUGGGAGCCGGGGGUACCUGAAGUGCGUAACCGCGAGGAUCGCCCUAGGGUAAAACUGGUGACUGGGGCUAAGUCGUAACAAGGUAGCCGUACCGGAAGGUGCGGCUG
rnacentral:rRNA from 1 species